rnacentral:rRNA from 1 species
AAUGAACGUUGGCGGCGUGGAUUAGGCAUGCAAGUCGAGCGAGAAGUCCUUCGGGACGGACAGCGGCGAAAGGGAGAGGAAUACGUAGAAAUCUACCCCUGAGACCGGGAUAGCGUCGGGAAACUGGCAGUAAUACCGGAUAAUGUCUUAGGACCAAAGGUGUGAUUCCACUUGGGGAUGAGUUUACGCCCUAUUAGCUAGUUGGUGGGGUAAUGGCCUACCAAGGCGAUGAUGGGUAGCGGGUGUGAGAGCAUGAUCCGCCUCACUGGGACUGAGAACUGCCCAGACACCUACGGGUGGCUGCAGUCGAGAAUCUUUGUCAAUGGACGAAAGUCUGAACAAGCGACGCCGCGUGCGGGAUGAAGGCCUUCGGGUUGUAAACCGCUGUCGUAGGGGAACAAAUGUACGGGGGUACUCCCCUGUAUUUGAGUGAUCCUAGGAGGAAGGAGAGGCUAAGCUCGUGCCAGCAGCCGCCGUAA